UGUUAAAGAAGAGACAGAAACAGACAACCUUAGACCAAUUUUUAGUUCUGAAAAGGUUGAGACUCAGUAAGCCAGAAGCAGGUCCUACUGGGCUACAGACUCUCCCAAGGAGAGAAAGGAGACCAGAGAGCCAGGUUUCUGAUGUUAUGGAAGGGGACUCUCCUUCCAAACAGUAACCACCUUCCAUUUCAUCCUCCCUGCAAGCCAAAGAUAUCAACUUGAAUGCAGGAAACCAUGUGAGCGGGGUCAGCUGCACCCACCAAUCCCGGAGAUAGUUCUGCAGACUCGUCAAGGCAGCGAGGGUCGCAGCUGGAAACCUCUCGGGGCUCGCAACGCCAUCCCUCCCCACCUUCCCUCCCGCCGUCCACCAGCUCCCCAGCCUCGCGAAGAAGCCGCCCCGGGGCCCGCGCAGGUGACAAGUGUCUCGCGACCUGCUUUCUCUUCAGGGAAACCGGGACACUUCCCCCGCCCGCUCCCCAUUUCCGGGUCCCCCACAUCCCGCCUCCUCACUCCAGAGGGAAACAGCAGGAAGCGGCUCCCAGCCCCACCCUGGCGCCAGGCGCAGAGGCCGCCGGGAGAGCGGAGUCCGCCCGCCGAGCCACGCCUCCUCGCGGACGGGCGGGGAAUGCAGAUUAGCGGUGGCGUCCAACGGGAGGGACCCCGGGACCAAGAAGUUCGGGUGGAGUUGGUCCUGAAAACCGCGAAGAAGAAGAAAUGGGCAGCGAAGGCUGAUGAGGUCCGCCUGGGAGUGAAUGAGGAGCGGGAGAGGGCAGAAAGACUAGGGGUCCGUAUUGUGACCGCGCGUUGAAUGUGAAGGCAGGGAGGGCGGCUAGGCUGCGGGUGGAGUAGUGGGUUGGUUUUUAUCCCGUUUAUUUGUCAAGUUAGUGUAGCCUUUGUUGUAAAUUUAGUAUGUAGGGGGUUUUUUUGUUGUUACUGUGGGGGCGGGGGCGUUGAGCUGUAUUCUUUUCGCUCGUGAGGUAGGGGGUGUAACCACUGAGCUAAGUUUUUCGCUCCUAACUUGUUUUGUUUUUUUUUUUUCCUUUGGACCUGCAGGCUAUGUAUGAGGUGGGACUUUGUAGCUGAGAAGUUAAGUAGGAGCGUGUUUCGUCUGCUCUUUGUACUGAGUUGGUGUUGAAAUAGUGUCAGGAACAGUAUUUUUUUUGAGUCUGAUUGUAUUAAAAGAACUGUUUCGUGUUUUACUCUCAGGAUGUGGGGUUAAGUUGGUGAACCGUUGUUUUGAUUUGUAAGUGUUUAGUAGUAUUUUGCUUGUGCAGUUUGUUAGGUUAACCCUGUUCCUGCUUUUGUUAAGGAAUGGGUCUAUUUUCCGCAGGUCUAUGUUUUGGUUAGGAGGUUCAUUGAAAAAGUUUUGGAUAAAGUUACUGUUUCCUACGGAGGUUUUUUGGAAGGAAGCUCACACUUAAUAGAGGUCUCUGCUGAGACUGCACUUAUAUUUGGGAGUAGGUGGGGUCAAUCCGUUAUAGAUUAGGUUCAUAAGUUUUUUUGUUUUUGGGUACCAGGCAUUGAACUCCGGUCUUUUCGGUUGCCAGGCAGGAGGCGGGACCGCUGAGCUAAAUCCCCGGCUCCAAGAUUAAUACAUUUCUGUUAAUCAGUAUCACCCACAUUAAAUUGUGGUAUCCACCACAUUAAAUUGAGAAAGGCCUUCCUGGAAGUACUGAUAUAUGCUACGUGGGUCUUUCCUAGUGGAAAUGAACAUUAAAACACAAAUAUGCAGAAAAUUACUUGGUUGGAACAUAAAAGGAUAAGAAAAGAUUUUAAGGAGCUGAGAAGCUCCUUAGACAACGGAAGUAAGAGAAAAUGAGGGAAUGAUCAGAUGAGGUUCAAACCAGGUACCAGCUUGAGGUGAUUUAGUUUCCAGGAAAGGAUUGUUUAUGGCAGUUUCAGUCAUGUAAGGCUCUGUUUUUCCUGGGACUCACGUGGACGCAGGUGUGGGAAAAUGGCUGGAAAGUUCAAAGCAUUACCCUAGAGGGGUCUGCAACUGGACGCUGUCAAAAGAUGUCCAUAUCCCCAAGAAUCCUGAAUAUUACUUUAGUUAUUUUGUUGUCCUUUGUCUUGAAGAGGAUGAGAUAGGCUAGGUAAAUUUAGGGGUAAUAAAAAUAAUUGACUUUUUCUAAAUGAUUAACCUAUUAAAAGAUACAGAAUGGGGCCGGGGUUUUAGCUCAGUGGUUCUGCCACCUGCCUCACAAGCUCAAGGUCCAGAGGUCGAUCCUUUGUACCAAAAAAAAAAAAAAAAA